UGGGAACGUACCUUUUGGUUCGGAACAACCCAGGGAAACUUGGGCUAAUACCGGAUAAGUCCGUAAGGAGAAAGAUUUAUCGCCAAAAGAUCGGCCCGCGUCUGAUUAGCUAGUUGGUGAGGUAACGGCUCACCAAGGCGACGAUCAGUAGCUGGUCUGAGAGGAUGAUCAGCCACAUUGUGACUGAGACACGGCCCAAACUCCUACGGGAGGCAG
rnacentral:rRNA from 1 species